rnacentral:rRNA from 1 species
CUACGGGGUGCAGCAGUGAGGAAUAUUGGACAAUGGAGGCAACUCUGAUCCAGCCAUGCCGCGUGCAGGAAGACGGCCCUAUGGGUUGUAAACUGCUUUUAUACAGGAAGAAUGGUACCUACGUGUAGGUAUUUGACGGUACUGUACGAAUAAGGAUCGGCUAACUCCGUGCCAGCAGCCGCGGUAAUACGGAGGAUCCAAGCGUUAUCCGGAAUCAUUGGGUUUAAAGGGUCCGUAGGCGGUCUGAUAAGUCAGAGGUGAAAUCCUGCAGCUCAACUGUAGCAUUGCCUUUGAUACUGUUAGACUUGAGUUAUUGUGAAGUAGUUAGAAUGUGUGGUGUAGCGGUGAAAUGCAUAGAUAUCACACAGAAUACCGAUUGCGAAGGCAGAUUACUAACAAUACACUGACGCUGAGGGACGAAAGCGUGGGUAGCGAACAGGAUUAGAUACCCCAGUAGUC